GUGGGGAAUAUUGGACAAUGGGCGAAAGCCUGAUCCAGCCAUGCCGCGUGUGUGAAGAAGGUCUUCGGAUUGUAAAGCACUUUAAGUUGGGAGGAAGGGCAGUAAGUUAAUACCUUGCUGUUUUGACGUUACCGACAGAAUAAGCACCGGCUAACUUCGUGCCAGCAGCCGCGGUAAUACGAAGGGUGCAAGCGUUAAUCGGAAUUACUGGGCGUAAAGCGCGCGUAGGUGGUUUUGUAAGUUGGAGGUGAAAUCCCCGGGCUCAACCUGGGAACUGCCUCCAAAACUGCAUGACUAGAGUACGGUAGAGGGCAGUGGAAUUUCCUGUGUAGCGGUGAAAUGCGUAGAUAUAGGAAGGAACACCAGUGGCGAAGGCGACUACCUGGACUGAUACUGACACUGAGGUGCGAAAGCGUGGGGAGCAAACAGGAUUAGAAACCCUAGUAGUCC
rnacentral:rRNA from 1 species